CUGAUGUCGAGAUGAGCAGAAAUGGUGGACGGCACAACCACAGGUACACUGGGUUAGUGUUCUGGGACUUGGGGCUUUGGGAGGGGAGAUCCUGGGUUUAAGGGCACACACGGGAGCUGAUAUACACCUGAAGCAGGCAUGCGGUGCGGGUCUUUGGGCCACCCCCUGACUCUCUACCGUGGUUGUUGCCCGACACGGGGUGGGCACGAGACACCUUGGGGGGGAGAGGGACAAAGGGGGGCAACAGACAGCAGAUACCAACAGCCUGGCUGGAUAUUCAGCACAAAGUCAGAACAUCCUGGACGCAAAUACGGUGAUCCC